AGGAUGAACGCUAGCGGGAGGCUUAACACAUGCAAGUCGAGGGGUAAAUGGUAGCAAUACUAUGAGACCGGCGAACGGGUGCGUAACGCGUAUGCAACUUACCUUAUGCAGGGGGAUAGCCCGUGGAAACGCGGAUUAAUAUCCCAUAGAUCAGUAAUAUCGCAUGGUAUAACUGGUAAAACUCAGGUGGCAUAAGAUAGGCAUGCGUCUGAUUAGCUAGUUGGUAGGGUAACGGCCUACCAAGGCGACGAUCAGUAGGGGUUCUGAGAGGAUUAACCCCCACACUGGUACUGAGACACGGACCAGACUCCUACGGGAGGCAGCAGUGAGGAAUAUUGGUCAAUGGGCGCAAGCCUGAACCAGCCAUCCCGCGUGAAGGAAGAAGGCCCUACGGGUUGUAAACUUCUUUUCUGUUUGAAGAAUAAGCUCGUCGAGACGAGUGAUGCCGGUAGGACAGGAAUAAGCAUCGGCUAACUCCGUG
rnacentral:rRNA from 1 species